rnacentral:misc_RNA from 1 species
ACAGUUUAGUAAGGGUCCAAAUCCUAAAGAUUCAUUGGAAAAAGAUGCGCUUGUAAGGCAGAUGGGUGUGACCCCAUUAAGUCAAAAUCCCAACUUAUUCAAAGAUUUGCUAGGCUGAAAUCAGACGUGCUGGAGUUCGAAUCUGUAAUGUUUAGAGUGAUUGCUAAUAUGCUAUAUGAUUUCUACAUGGAGAAGUGUUCGGCUAUCCUAUACGCAGUCAUUCAAUGAUAGGGCUUAUACUAUUUAAAAAGCAGAACUGUAGAGUUCCACAAAAUGGAAUGAUGCAGCCUCCCUCCGGCCUCCGUGGUGCUAAAAUCAGGUACGGAUUGUAUUUGUUGCGGC